rnacentral:lncRNA from 1 species
CGGCACCCCGCCGCACGUGUAGCCCAAGGAAGCCGUCUACCCAAGCUACCUCCACAGGGUUGGUACGCUGCGAGCCGGACAACGACAGAAGAAAAUGGGCGAAAAUAUAUGGAAAGAAUAAGAAAAAAAGAAGGAAAAGAAAGAACUACCCAAAAUAUAAAUGGGCGCAAGAAAAGGUGGGCGGACGAAAACGGGCUAAAGAAAGAAAAAGAAGCAAAAAAGAAGAAAGGGGGCGAGAAAAGAGAGCAGAUUCACAGAGCUCUACCUCUCUCUUAUCACUCUUCUCUGCUCUUCUCGGCACCGCCGGUUCUCCCCUUCUUCUUAACCCCCACUUCCAUACCUCUCCCCAAACCCUAAAUCCCCAAAUCUGAUCAAUUACUACCCCGCCAUCAACUCUCCCCCUCUUCCCUUCUCAAUCUGCUUACCGGAUCUGACCUCCCUUACUUUAACAUAUUUCGAUUUGAUGUUUNNN